rnacentral:lncRNA from 1 species
CUGAAGAAAAACAGUGUCAAAGUCCUGUGGUUUCCUAAGAUGCACUUCCAUGAUUCUUGUGAAAAGGCAGAGCCUUGUAUGCCAGUUCCUUGGGAGUGGCAGAGUACUGGAACAUCCUGCCUAGAUUGAUUGAGGAGAUUCCUUGUCUGGAGAUAUUCAAGACCUGUCUGGAUGCCUACCUGUGCAGCGUGCUGUAGGGACCGUGCUUUAGCAAAGAGGUUGAACUCAAUGGUCUCUAGAGGUCCCUUCCAACCCCUACAAUUCUGUGAGUCUGUGAGAAUUUAAUUGAGCUGGGAAUUUUUGCCACUGAAUCUCCAAGGAAGAUCCUUACACCUCAAAGUGCAGGACCACCUGAAGUUUUAGAAAUGCUUCCUAGUCUUCAUCUACUGGCAAACUAUUCAGGAGGCACAACUCAGGUGGUAGCAUGGCUACUGCUUACACUGACAGCGGGAUGAGAGAGUUUACAUUUCCUCCUGGAUUUUCCAGGUAAUCAGUAGAGAAGUCAGUUCCACAACAUGAUUAAAUCAGGUAAUUUUUUAUUUAAUAAAUCAUCUUCCCUCUAGAAUAAGUCACUUAAGUGGUCAUGUCUAGACUUGUAAUUGAAAUCCCUCUGGAAUUUGGCUGAGGAAAGUUACUGGCCAUACUAAAAGGCAGUGACUUUGCAUCUAAGCAAUGUGCAAAACAGCUGAACCAAACACAGAGUUGUAGACUACUUUACUGAACAAGUACAAGUACUGCUUUCAAAUGAACCAUAUUUUUCUUUUCCUUUCUUGGAUGUGGCAAUCAGUGAAAUAGAAUCCUAACAACUUAUGCAAACCUGUCCUACCUUGAAGGGACAAUAGCAGAAAAUAUGAAAUUAGUUGCCUUAAUACUAACUUAACAGUUGGAGCUGCAACUGGAGAGACUGCUGUCCUUCACUUGCUUCAUGUCAAUAAUGAAUGGCCUACAUUAAAUUUCUGAAAAAAAAUAAACUGCUCUGUAAAGGUAGUAAUGGGCAUAAAUAAGGAGUAAGGAAUGCUCACUACAGCAAGUCUGCCCAGACAUGAGCAAACUCAGAGAUAUACAGAAAGACAACAAGAAUAGUCUUGAAAUUAUUGGGAUUUUUAUGCAUAUUUCAGAUUAUAUAUAUAUUUUUAUAAUGUUCUAUAUAUUUCAGACAAGCAAGAAAAAAUAUGGGUAGUUAUCUAUAUAAAGCAUCC